rnacentral:tRNA from 1 species
UGGCUCAGUGGUAGAGCGCUUGCCUUGCAUGCAUGAUGCCGUGGGUUCAAUUCCUC